GAGAGGCAGCAUCAUCCUCAAUAACAUGGGUGCAGUUCUCAGGCUCUGGCUCUUGGUCUUAGGGCCUGUUGUCCCUCCAGAAGUGAUUGAGUCUCCUCCAGUUCUCUCCCUCCUGAGAGGACAGACAGCUCGGAUCAACUGUAGCCUGAUACCGGGAGAGGAGCGGGCUGAUUUGGGGCAAUAAUGUUGGUGUCGGGCAAGAGAAAUUUCUGACUUCAGAGGCAACAGAUCCAGGAACUUCAUGAAAAACAGCCCCCAGUGUUUCAGUGUCGAUCCUGUGCAGAAUGAAAAACAGUAGAGGUCCUUUGCAGGUCUGGGAACAAGAGGCUCUGAGCUGGAAUAAGGCUGACUGUAGUGAAAGAAAAUGCCUGCGCAUGGCUGUGAGCGUUGAGCUGAGGAUCCGCAGAGAAAACCCUUUCUGGAGGCUCAGGAUGUUGUAGAGAACCAUUGUGGUGGUUUGGUCCAAAUUGGGAUCGUCUGAACAUUGUUUGGAGUCCUUAGGGUAUGAGCCUGCCGCAGUGGGCAGGUACAGAGAAAGGAGCUGUGGCCGUAGUAACAGGUUUGUUUCAGAAUGUGGUGGAGAGGUCCAGCUGUAUUAACCCUUACUCCAGCAUCUGCAUCUCUUGCUAUCCGUGUGUCCGUGUCUAUGUCUGAGAGUUUUCUCAUCAUCUGGGAGCUGAUGCUGAAUGAUUCUGAUACUUACCAAUGUGUGGUUCUCAGAGAGAAACCUCGGCCCUGGAAAUACUUCCUGGGAAAUGGAACAACACAGAACGUCCAAGCGAAACCUGAAAUCUAUCUGACUGCGGAUCCCCAGAAUGAAGAUGUUGGGAUUCAGACACUGACUUGUUUGGCCGCGGGAUUCUCUCCGAGAGAUCUGAACAUUUCCUGGAUUGUUGAGGGGGAUGUCUCGUAUCAGGAAGAGCCGGGUUCGCUGACAGUAAACAGUGACAGCAGCUAUAACCUGACCUCCCGGCUGCGGAUUACAAACCCUCAGCGGGAGCAGGGAGCCACCGUCUCCUGUCUCAUUGAGCACAGGACAUUCACUGGGUUAGUGACAGCAAGCUUCAGCAACAGCACAGGAUAAUAUUUCCCUCAGCAGUGAAACUCUUCAUUAUGUAUCUGUUCAAGUCAAAAAUCCUUCAAAGAGUAAACAAAAACAGGAAUUGAAAAGACCAGAGCAGGACCAGGCAACGAAAUAUGCCAUUCUAAAGGUCAAAGAUAAAAAUAAUCAAUUCUACAAAGAUGGUGGUAGAUUACUCCACCGUCAACAUUUGCCCCACAUCAAACACAUGGCAAGCUGUUGACUACAAAGCAACCACAUAUGCUUCACUUAAGAAAUAAACAUUUCAUAUCAUUUUAUAUGAUUCGCUUUCUCAAGGGCAAUUAAGGGUGCCAACAAAUGCUGACCUUGCCAUCAACUCUCACAUCUUCCAAAAAUGUGACUUGGGCGAAGUAUGAUUUUGCAAUUGCAAAUGCAUAAACAAAUGUAACUUUAAAGUGGCUCCAGUAUCUCAAGUUGGAUGUUGACAUUAAUUGUUUCGUUAAACUAAAAUUAAAUCAACUAAUAAUUGCUUGAAUGAUUCAGGUAUACAGUGAUAUUUGCUAAUUUUUUUUUCAUUAAUGAAUA